rnacentral:rRNA from 1 species
GAAUUCGCCCUUAGAGUUUGAUCCUGGCUCAGGACGAACGCUGGCGGCGUGCCUAACACAUGCAAGUCGAGCGGAGACAUGUUUCGGAAGGGCUUCGGCCUGGAAGGGAUAUGUUUUAGCGGCGGACGGGUGAGUAACGCGUGAGCAACCUUUCCUCUAUUGGGGGAUAACACAGCGAAAGUUGUACUAAUACCGCAUAAGACCACGACAGGGCAUCCUGUUGAGGUCAAAGAUUUAUUGAUAGAGGGUGGGCUCGCGUCCGAUUAGGUAGUUGGUGAGGUAACGGCCCACCAAGCCGACGAUCGGUAGCCGACCUGAGAGGGUGAUCGGCCACAUUGGGACUGAGACACGGCCCAAACUCCUACGGGAGGCAGCAGUGGGGAAUAUUGGGCAAUGGGGGGAACCCUGACCCAGCAACGCCGCGUGGAGGAAGAAGGUUUUCGGAUCGUAAACUCCUGUCCUUGGUGAAGAGAAGGAGACGGUAGCCAAGGAGGAAGCCCCGGCUAACUACGUGCCAGCAGCCGCGGUAAUACGUAGGGGGCAAGCGUUGUCCGGAAUGAUUGGGCGUAAAGGGCGCGUAGGCGGCCCGGUAAGUCUGGAGUGAAAGUCCUGGCUUCAAGUUGGGAAUUGCUUUGGAUACUGUCGGGCUUGAGUGCAGGAGAGGUUAGUGGAAUUCCCAGUGUAGCGGUGAAAUGCGUAGAGAUUGGGAGGAACACCAGUGGCGAAGGCGACUAACUGGACUGUAACUGACGCUGAGGCGCGAAAGUGUGGGGAGCAAACAGGAUUAGAUACCCUGGUAGUCCACACUGUAAACGAUGAAUGCUAGGUGUAGGGGGUAUCGACCCCUUCUGUGCCGGAGUCAACACAAUAAGUAUUCCACCUGGGGAGUACGACCGCAAGGUUGAAACUCAAAGGAAUUGACGGGGGCCCGCACAAGCAGUGGAUUAUGUGGUUUAAUUCGACGCAACGCGAAGAACCUUACCAGGGUUUGACAUCCAACUAACGAAGCAGAGAUGCAUUAGGUGCCCUUCGGGGAAAGUUGAGACAGGUGGUGCAUGGUUGUCGUCAGCUCGUGUCGUGAGAUGUUGGGUUAAGUCCCGCAACGAGCGCAACCCCUAUUGUUAGUUGCUACGCAAGAGCACUCUAGCGAGACUGCCGUUGACAAAACGGAGGAAGGCGGGGACGACGUCAAAUCAUCAUGCCCCUUAUAUCCUGGGCUACACACGUAAUACAAUGGUGGUAAACAGAGGGAAGCAAGACUGUGAAGUGGAGCAAACCCCCAAAAGCCGUCUCAGUUCGGAUUGCAGGCUGCAACUCGCCUGCAUGAAGCUGGAAUUGCUAGUAAUCGCGGAUCAGCAUGCCGCGGUGAAUACGUUCCCGGGCCUUGUACACACCGCCCGUCA